AGAGACUGAGACUUUGAGCUGGGGAAGAGAGAGGGAGGGGAGAGGAGGCAAAAGAAGGAGAGAGAGAGAGAGAGAGAGAGAGAGAGAGAGAAACGCAGAGGGAGGGAGGCAGGGAGACCAAACCCCCGCUUUACUGCGUUGAAAGCUCCUGAAUUUCAAGCAGAAAGUAGAAGGAGCAUCACACGGCAAUGGGCGUCUUUCCUUGGGCUGCGUGUGCAGAGCGUAGACAAUGAAAAUCUCCAUCCCCCUCCCCCAUCCCCGCUAGACUACAAGAUUUUUCUUUUCGUUCCUUAUCAACGGUGGAAGAUGUGCAAAAUCAAAUACACAGAGCUGUGCAUUUAUUUUUAAAAUAAAUAAAGCAAACGGGCUGAGACGCGGAUUACCCAAACGCGCACCGGCUGGGCGCGUUGCGGGGUCUCUGCGUUAGACCGGUUCUCAGCGGUUUCUGCAGCCACAGCCUGGCUCUACGCCUCCCCCCGGGCCGCGGGGGCGGAGAAUCCUCCCUUCCUCGGACACUGGAGCCGGAGCGGACCUUGCCCUCCCGCGGACCGCGCGGUAGGGGACGCCGAGAAAAGAGCCCCUGCGCCCGCCGCCUCCGGCCCGCCGCGCAGAGGGCUCCGCCCGUAGAGGUCAACUCCCCUCACCCUUUCGGCUCUCCUGAUCGCCCUCCCUCCGCCCGGCCCAGGCUCCGCCAGCCUCCCGACUCGGGCCGCAGUCUGAGGAGUGCGCCUCCGCUGCGCUGCUCUGAACCUUAACCCCGAGCCGGGCCCAGACCCGAGGUCCGCGCACCCCGGCGGUGGGGAAGCCUUAGCGAGCAGCCUUUUCUCUGCAGCAAAGCUGUAGGAAGACCAGAUGGGCCGCGCAGCUCUCUCGGGACUAGGCAGGUUCUGUAUAACUGCCUCUUCUUGGACAUCUUAGGAGGAGGACUGUCUGGAUCAGUGAUGAAGAUAGGAAAAUACAUGUAUAAUAAUUCUAUAUUGCCUAAAUAUUUUCACUAGUCAUUUCUAAGUUAAAAUUUUCUGUAUACAAAAUUAAAUAUAUAUAGAUGUAUGCAUUCAAAAAAUACAUAUUUAUAAUGUCUCAGUAAACUUUUAGUCCCCUUCCUGAAGCUGUAAGUUAGAGGCAUCUUUUACAAAGAAGAAUGUGACUGGCUGGACCUCAACAACCUCUGUGUUGCAGACUCUACUUCCUUUUCCUUGAAAAGCUCCAGAAAAACCCUCUGUCCUGGAGAGACCAGUCCUGAUUCUCCCUUAACUGAGAACAGCUUUACUGGCAGAGGUGUCUCAUCACAUGGUCUCUCUCUGUAUUCCCUAAUUUGAGUGGAAUGUUGAGUGCAUGAACAGUACCCCUGUACUUAUAGGAACCAGAGGAAAAUAAGAAUGAUAGUAAGAUGAAAUUAACCACCAUCCACUUUAUUCAAUCCAUUCAGCAGCACAUAAGCACCAGGAUUAUAGCAAUUGGCAUAUUAGAGAGUAUUCUGAAAAGUUGUCAGGAGGUACUGUGUAACAGAGCUUUCUUUUCUGCUCUUCUCAUCAUAUUGAUUAUGUUUCACGUCAUAAAACAAAUCCCCAAACUCUGCCCAGAGGCUGCCUGCUAUGCUAAUGGAGAGGAUGCCAGGCAAAGAUGCUGAGGGUGCAGAUGUCUCUCUGCUGGGCUUUGCACAUGACACUGGAUGGCCCUUAAAUGAGGUUAGUUAAUUGGCAAAGGGCAGAGAAGAGGCCAUCAUUUCUUGAGUACUUGCCUCUAUGCUGGGAGCUGUACCAGGGGCUAAAAGUUUGCUGUGGCUGGAGAGACUGAGGACUUGGCAUUCUGCAUUGGAGGAAGAAACACAGAAAUAGAAAAAAGAGAGCUCACCUGAGAAAGACGAGGAAGAGAAGCUACCAACAACACUACCAACAACAAUCUAACAAAGUUCAAAAAUGGCAUUCCUUCUGCCAAAUCUCAUUCUUCUUGGAGCUUAACCAACCCUUGCCUGCUUGGCUUGCCUUGGAUUCCAUACUUCCAAAACCCCUCGGUAAAGCCACCCCAUCAGUCACUUCUACUUAAAAUGCCUCAUCCUUGUGGUUCAUAAGAGUGCCCCCAUGGCUAUGUUCUAGAUUAUUCUAUAGCAAUCUUGAUAACUCUAUUGUGAUAGCAAUCUUAAAUUUAAUUUUAUAUCCAGUCAUCCUAGAUUUCUGAAGUUUUUGGUGCCACCUUCUGAGAGGCCAUCUAGAAGUUAGGGUUCAGAUAAGUGCCUAAUGCUUUGGUUUUUUUUAAUGUGUUCCUUUUAUUUUUUUAUUUUUAAAACGUGUUCCUUUUAAACAAGUGGCAAAAUAGCUUUUGCAUAUUCUCUUAAGAUAAGAAAGAUGUCUUAGUUUCCUAGUUUUUAUGGGGAGGUGAUUUUACAAAUAAAACAUGCUAUGUCUUUGUAUCUAUUAAAAAAAAAGUUUCCCCUUUCCUUGACUUAAUCUCGGCUUCUCAAGAGUGACUCUACUGACCCUUGGACUGGAUAUUGCUUCGUUGCCAUUGGGAAGAGAGGCUCCAUCCGAUGCCUUGUAGGACACUCAGCAGAAUCCCAUACCUAGUAUAUUGUAGUUGUUUGAUAAAUGUUAAAUUGAGUGAAUUCUAAUAAAUGAAAUAAUGCUAUG
rnacentral:lncRNA from 1 species